UGGAAAUGUGCUUUUUGUGGAAAAUGGUAGCUGUACGUGGUGAUAAAAAGGGCCUUUUUUGGAAAUAUGGUGACUUCGUGGUGAGUUGAGAAGUUUUUGUGGUGGGGGGUUUUGGUGGGACGUUGGUAAUUGUGCGUGGUGAUACGGAUGUGGUUUUGUGCAAAUGUUUGGGGAAACGUGGUCGCGUUGGGAGAAUUCUGGUGGCUUGGGAAUGUUUUUCUGGAAAUAUGUGGAAAUGUGAUUUUUGUUGAGGGAACCUGGUAAUUGUACAUGAUGAUAUAGCCGUUUCCUUGGAAAUAUGAUGGUUCUGUGUGGAAAACUGGUUAGUUUGUGGAAACACGUAUAGCGAUAUGGUGACUUUGUGUGGGAAAUGGUGUGGUAGUUUUAGGGUGAUGGGGUUUUUUUGUUGUGGGACCUGUGGAAAAUUGUGUGGCAAUUGGGUAAGCGCGAGGAAACACGGUUGUGUUGCGAGAGGGAUUUGGAAACCCGUGUUGUAGGAACGCGUGGAUAAGCGGUGAUGUCUGUGCUGAUUUGGGAACUCUUGGUGGGAACGUGCCGGUCGGCCCGUGGCGGCCGUCUGACCCACCGCGGCGCGGUGACCGGUGCGCGCGCGCGCGCGCGUGCUUCAAUCUGCCGGGAUUAGGAGGCAGCGCGCCCCGUGCCACGCCCCCGCGCUCCAAUCUGGGCUUUGCGGCCAAGAGGCUCCGGCCGCGCACCUGCACCGCGGCGGCAGGGAGAGAAGAACAAAAGGGCUCGCUCGCCCGGGGCGGGACUGGAGCAGUGCCCGCGGCCGGGCCGGGCCGGGCCAGGCGCACACACGAUCCCCGGCACAUCGAUCCCUGGAUCAGAGCCCCGUGUUCUCAUUGGCCGCUCGAGGCGCGCAGCGAUUGGCUGCGAGCGUUGUGUGGGCGAGGCCUGGGCUCUCCGCACUGCUUCUCUCUGAUUGGCCUCUGCCGGAGGAAGUGGGGCGAGGAGCACGCUCUCCUUGUUCUCGUUCUGAUUGGCUGCGGAGGAACGUUGUGGGGGGAGGGACUGCACUGUUCUGUGCGCCGAUUGGUCCAACCGCGAUCCUCAGCGGCCCCGGUCAGCUGUUUGUCUGUGCCGUGCCGUGCCGUGCCGUGCCCGCUGCGCCCGGAGCCCGCGUCCCGCUGCUGCCCCGGCGGUCCCGGAGCGCUGCGGCAGGCUGUUGUGGCCGCCACGCCGGGUCGUGCCGGAGCCUGCGUUCCCACGGCGCGGGGCCGGUCAGGAUCUCUUCGGAGGGUGGCGCUCGCAACACAAGCAGUGCCGGGUUCCUGGUUUGUCGAGAUGAGAACAGAAAACCCGCUGUUGUUCAGUAAACACUGCGAGAAACCCAUCACACUGUCGGGGCGAGCCUGGGCUGUGCUGUGCGACAGUACGGGAGUGUCACCGGCGCGCUGGAGCGGCCCUGCCCGCCCCCGCGCGCCUGGAGCCGCCUGUGGGCGGGGAUCCCUUCUGACCCGUGUCGUUGCUAGCAAGGUUUGCGUGGAAAUUCCCUUUUUUAAUGGUAAAAAGAAAUGGGGAAAAAAUAAAACAACCCUAUUGUUCAGUAAGAACUGCAGAUCUAUUCUAGCGGAGAGAAGGAGAUCCUUGCUGUAAGAUAAGUAACACUUUGAGAGCAGCGGGUUGAAGUGACGGUAUUAUUCGUUGUCUAGUCACAUACAUUUGCAGUUACAAGUAACAGGGCUGUGUGUGUGUAGAUGUGUAUGUAGUGUGUGUAAAGCCUACAUGCCAUGAUGAACACAGGAAUCCCACUACUCUGUCUCUCUAAAAGGGAAUGGUGGUAGAAGCAUAUCAUUAUGCGUACCUAUUGCUAUAUAUUAAUAUGUGUAUUUCAAACGUAUAUAAAAGGUAUGUCGCACACCCGUAUCGGAGGGGGAAACACAACCAGAAGACGCCCGGCGGCGAAGAGGAGAGCGCGCUCCGCGCUGCCCCGCGGUGGCUCAGGCCGGGCACUGCAGCGGGGAGAGCGGUCUCUUAGCUGCUUUUAGGCCUGGUGCCUUGUUUAAUUGUGUUUGAUAUUUUCCUUUAGUUGCUGCCCAAGUUAGUUGUCACAACUGCAAAGAUCCAUGCUGUGGUUACUCAGAACAAGGCUUCGGGCCUUCUGCUUACCAGCACUUGUGCAGCUUAGCCUUGAAAAUGGCCAAGGCUGGCAACAGGGUCAUCUUAUCACCGUCAGUGUUGGGGUUAACAGUGUGAGUGUUUUACCUCGCAUGAAACUGUCUGAUGUGCGUCUGCCCUUUCUCACAGGCUAGUCCUUGUGCACCUGUCCUUGGAAACCAGCUUAUUGGUGGGGAGGUGAAGCGUGACAUUUGGCACAGAAAGACCUGGGGUAGAAUGGCCCCCGACAGCUGUCAAGUCUGCAGUGUGUCACUGUGCGGGCUGCUCCGAAACAGGUAUUUGGGGCCUGCACCAGUCUCUUGGAAACAUCCAUGUUAACCCUGGCAGCAGGUGAGUGCGUGUUCCUGCCUUGGACAAGCUCAGGGAACACAAUGUGUCAGCAGUUGCCUUCACUUCUGACUGGAUGCCUGUCAUUCACUUGCACAUGUCCAGUGGUACCACCUCCAGCGACAGCAGCUCUUGCCUCCGAACUACUAGGGCAUCUUGCAACAGCAACGGCCUGCCCCGGGCUAGGCUGAUGCCAGUGGCCCAGACCCAGAGACUGCCUGUUGUACAUCCUUGUGCCUGGAUUAGGUGUUGAGCACUUGCAUCUCUGCUAGCUUCAGCACGUAUUAGCCUCUCAACAUCCUGUGGCACCCACCGCAGGGCCUGUGACCCUAAUGUCUCUGUCAGCCUCUGUCUCACCCUUCCCUUGAAGGUCUCCCAUAAAACUCCUUGUCCCAUCCCAGUCUGCAGCAGGGCGCCACCAGCAUUUCCCAGGUGCUGUUGAGAGAGUUGAGAGGAGCGUGGGGAAGAGCCUUCCUUGCCCCCACGCUCUUUACUUCUCUCAGGUUGAAUCUGUUUGUCAGUCCCAGUGCCUCUUUUCUGUCCUCUUCUGCCUCUGGUGUCCCUGGGUAGCCACUCUGUCUCCUGUAUAUGCUGGGAGGUGGUUUAAGGGUGUCAUGACCCAAUGAUUGUGUGUGCGCUUCGGCACUGCAGAAUUAUUUCCCGUCACAUGGAGCUUUCUUUGCACGGUGCAAUUCUCAGCUGCAGAGAGAAAAUCCCGGUGCAAAGGAGUUCCCGCCACCCGUAUGUAAGUUUGUUUCCCACUAUUGGCUGUUUCUAAAUUAUUCCCAUGUGGCGGCUAGCGAUUGGCUUGCUAGCCGUAUAAGAGGUUUGAGCAGUUUCCAUCCAAGGCGGAGAUCUCCGAGAAUCUCGGGAGGACCCCGAGAUCCCCAAUUCCGAGGAUUCCAGGAGAAAUCCGAGAGAAUUCCGGAGAAAAUUCCAUGAUUACCUCAUGGACUUCUACGUAAAUCUCGGACCGAAUGGUGGUUUGAUCUGCUACCAAGAAUCUCUCCCCGUCAUCGAGCACUAUCCCGACGUAUCCCUACCCUGCGUACUCGUCAAGAGUCAUAUUUUGGACUCUCAGUUUGGUAUCCAGAGCUCUUGUAGUCAAAAAUAGGUUAGACCCCAAGAUUUUGUAAUAAUGCUUAAGCAGCAACUAUAUAAAAGAAAUGUCUUAUGAUCUCUUGAGUAAGAUCAUGAGGCCACCGACUGAGUUAUGGUCUGCUUUACUUUUUGCUUGCCUGGCAUAAUGAAAUCAUCUGUGUCUGGUGUUCUAAAAUUACACUCAGACACGGGAGUUACUAAAAGAUUACUAAACCUUGCCGUAGUUCCUCUUUUCCUCUGCGCACGCGACAGAAGAUUUUUGCCGUAGUUCUGCUUUUUGAAUGCGCAUGCACCAACCCUGAUAAGUCACACUAACCAAUAACAAGUUAAGUUUAGCCUACAAAAAUAAGACGUAACAACUAGGAAAUUAUAAUGCUACCAAUGAGUGCCUAAUACGUCAAGACUAUGUUUAUGUAAGCUAUAAAUAUGUAAUUCUGGGCCGGACGGGUGUUCGGCUCUGCUUUGGCAUUAGCCUCUUAGCUGAACCUGUUUACGUAAACAAUAAACGUGAGAUGGACCUAGCCUGUGUGUAAGUGUGACUCACUCCUUGAGGAUAUUUGGACAAGCCUCCAGGGGAACGAAACUAGCCAUUUGGGCAACACUCUGUCCGGUUUGUUAACAAGAGACUCGAGUUUCCUACGGCUCUUGUUCGUGUUUGUUUUGCGGAGCCUAGCAAACUCCGUGUGUGUGCAUCUUCGGUGGAGCCUAGCAAACUCCACGUGUGUCUGUCUGUAACUGCAACGCAAGCAAGCUUUCCUGCCUGCACCGUGACCAUCUACCGUGUUUGCUGCAUCCUUCCAGAGCCUCCCGCUCGACGCACCAAUCCACAACUUCAAACCGGGUGACCAAGUCCUGGUACAGAAGUGGAAGAAAGAUCCUCUUGUGGAGAAGUGGGAAGGACCCUACCAGGUGCUGCUGACUACACACACAGCUGUCCGUCUAUCAAACAACGAUAAGUGGACCCACUGUUCGAGGGUAAAGCCCUAUCAUCCGGAGGACACCAACUCCCAGGGUGUGGUCACUCCGGAAGCUGAUAACACCCGGGAACAAGAAGCCAACCAGUGGACAAGUACACCAAUAGGAGAUCUGAAGCUGCGCUUGCAACGAUGUGGACUUUAAUCUAUUUGCUGGGACUCUUAUCCCUUUUCGGGGUAUCAGCUCCAGAUUGUUGUAAAUGUACUUUAGACAUGCGUGAAAACCUCACAAUGACCGUUUAUGAAAAGGUUAAGUAUGCAAUGUCUGAGGCCUAUCUAUUUCCCAUUUCUGCAUGCUGUUCACGCCAAGAAAUUAUAGUGGGGUUUGUAUUCAAGGGCGCCAAAGGUAAAUUGGUAAGGUGUGUAGAGCCGAAACCAGAACUCUGGUCAGCUAUACUUAAGGCUUGGCCUUCCAGCCUUAACCAAAUGUAGUUGGAAGGGAGCCCACCUAUCUAACUAACCGUAUUAUCAGACUCCAGGCCGUAGUAGAGAUAGUCACUAACAAGACUGCUGCAGCCCUACGUCUAAUUGGAAAUCAGCUUACCCAGCUACGCACUACGGUACUACAGAAUCGCUUAGCUCUUGACUACUUACUUGCUAGUGAAGGAGGGGUAUGUAAGAAGUUAAAUCUGUCCAAUUGUUGUGUUGAGAUUGAUGAUAAUGGUGAAUUGAUAAAAACCCUAGCAGAUGAUAUGGAAAAGAUAGCACAUGUUCCAGUCCAGACAUGGAAUGGGUGGAACUCUGAUUGGUUUACAUCCUGGCUUCCUCAGCCUGGAUGGUUAAAGGGUGUGUUGAUGGCCUUAUGCUUGUUAGUGUCAGCCCUUUGCUUGCUUCCUUGUAUGCUACCGUGCAUCAUGACCCUUCUGAGACGGACUGUUCGCUCAGUUGUUAACCGUGAAAUGCUUGUGCAUUAUCAGAAAUUGGCUAUUGCUGACACUUAUUAAAAUUUUUAGAGUAAGAAAGCAUCUGGGGGGGAAGGUGUAGUCAAAAAUAGGUUAGACCCCAAGAUUUUGUAAUAAUGCUUAAGCAGCAACUAUAUAAAAGAAAUGUCUGAUGACCAUCUUAUGAUCUCUUGAGUAAGAUCAUGAGGCCACCGACUGAGUUAUGGUCUGCUUUACUUUUUGCUUGCCUGGCAUAAUGAAAGCAUCUGUGUCUGGUGUUCUAAAAUUACACUCAGACACGGGAGUUACUAAAAGAUUACUAAACCUUGCCGUAGUUCCUCUUUUCCUCUGCGCACGCGACAGAAGAUUUUUGCCGUAGUUCUGCUUUUUGAAUGCGCAUGCACCAACCCUGAUAAGUCACACUAACCAAUAACAAGUUAAGUUUAGCCUACAAAAUAAGACGUAACAACUAGGAAAUUAUAAUGCUACCAAUGAGUGCCUAAUACGUCAAGACUAUGUUUAUGUAAGCUAUAAAUAUGUAAUUCUGGGCCGGACGGGUGUUCGGCUCUGCUUUGGCAUUAGCCUCUUAGCUGAACCUGUUUACGUAAACAAUAAACAUGUGAUGGACCUAGCCUGUGUGUAAGUGUGACUCACUCCUUGAGGAUAAUUGGACAAGCCUCCAGGGGAACGAAACUAGCCAUUUGGGCAACACUCUGUCCGGUUUGUUAACAAGAGACUCGAGUUUCCUACGGCUCUUGUUCGUGUUUGUUUUGCGGAGCCUAGCAAACUCCGUGUGUGUGCAUCUUCGGUGGAGCCUAGCAAACUCCACGUGUGUCUGUCUGUAACUGCAACGCAAGCAAGCUUUCCUGCCUGCACCGUGACCAUCUACCGUGUAAGUAAAGUUUUCUUUGUUUAA